rnacentral:rRNA from 1 species
CAUACACCGAAGCUGCGGCAAUAUCUUUUAGAUAUUGGGUAGGGGAGCGUUCUGUAAGCCGUUGAAGGUGAAUCGUAAGGUUUGCUGGAGGUAUCAGAAGUGCGAAUGCUGACAUGAGUAACGACAAAGGGGGUGAAAAACCUCCUCGCCGGAAGACCAAGGGUUCCUGUCCAACGUUAAUCGGGGCAGGGUGAGUCGACCCCUAAGGUGAGGCCGAAAGGCGUAAUCGAUGGGAAACGGGUUAAUAUUCCCGUACUUCUGACUAUUGCGAUGGGGGGACGGAGAAGGCUAGGUGGGCCAGGCGACGGUUGUCCUGGUUCAAGUGCGUAGGCUUGAGAGUUAGGUAAAUCCGGCUCUCUCUAAGGCUGAGACACGACGUCGAGCUGCUACGGCAGUGAAGUCAUUGAUGCCAUGCUUCCAGGAAAAGCCUCUAAGCUUCAGAUAGUCAGGAAUCGUACCCCAAACCGACACAGGUGGUCGGGUAGAGAAUACCAAGGCGCUUGAGAGAACUCGGGUGAAGGAACUAGGCAAAAUGGUACCGUAACUUCGGGAGAAGGUACGCUCUUGAUGGUGAAGUCCCUCGCGGAUGGAGCUGACGAGAGUCGCAGAUACCAGGUGGCUGCAACUGUUUAUUAAAAACACAGCACUGUGCAAAAUCGCAAGAUGACGUAUACGGUGUGACGCCUGCCCGGUGCCGGAAGGUUAAUUGAUGGGGUUAGCGCAAGCGAAGCUCUUGAUCGAAGCCCCGGUAAACGGCGGCCGUAACUAUAACGGUCCUAAGGUAGCGAAAUUCCUUGUCGGGUAAGUUCCGACCUGCACGAAUGGCGUAAUGAUGGCCACGCUGUCUCCACCCGAGACUCAGUGAAAUUGAAAUCGCUGUGAAGAUGCAGUGUACCCGCGGCUAGACGGAAAGACCCCGUGAACCUUUACUACAGCUUGGCACUGAACAUUGAACCUACAUGUGUAGGAUAGGUGGGAGGCUUUGAAGACGUGACGCCAGUUGCGUUGGAGCCGUCCUUGAAAUACCACCCUUGUAUGUUUGAUGUUCUAACUUAGACCCGUUAUCCGGGUUGAGGACAGUGCCUGGUGGGUAGUUUGACUGGGGCGGUCUCCUCCCAAAGAGUAACGGAGGAGCACGAAGGUGGGCUAAUCACGGUUGGACAUCGUGAGGUUAGUGCAAUGGCAUAAGCCCGCUUAACUGCGAGAAUGACGGUUCGAGCAGGUGCGAAAGCAGGUCAUAGUGAUCCGGUGGUUCUGUAUGGAAAGGGCCAUCGCUCAACGGAUAAAAGGUACUCCGGGGAUAACAGGCUGAUACCGCCCAAGAGUUCAUAUCGACGGCGGUGUUUGGCACCUCGAUGUCGGCUCAUCACAUCCUGGGGCUGAAGUCGGUCCCAAGGGUAUGGCUGUUCGCCAUUUAAAGUGGUACGCGAGCUGGGUUUAGAACGUCGUGAGACAGUUCGGUCCCUAUCUGCCGUGGGCGUUGGAAGAUUGAAGGGGGCUGCUCCUAGUACGAGAGGACCGGAGUGGACGAACCUCUGGUGUUCGGGUUGUGUCGCCAGACGCAUUGCCCGGUAGCUAAGUUCGGAAUCGAUAACCGCUGAAAGCAUCUAAGCGGGAAGCGAGCCCUGAGAUGAGUCUUCCCUGGCGCUUUAAGCGUCCUAAAGGGUUGUUCGAGACUAGAACGUUGAUAGGCAGGGUGUGUAAGCGUUGUGAGGCGUUGAGCUAACCUGUACUAAUUGCCCGUGAGGCUUAACCAU